AACGCGAAGAACCUUACGAACCCUUGACCCGCAGGACCGCCCCGGAGACGGGGUUUUCUCGUAAGAGACCUGUGGACAGGUGCUGCAUGGCUGUCGUCAGCUCGUGUCGUGAGAUGUUCGGUUAAGUCCGGCAACGAGCGCAACCCACACCCUUAGUUGCCAGCAUUCAGUUGGGCACUCUAGGGGAACUGCCGGUGAUAAGCCGGAGGAAGGUGUGGAUGACGUCAAGUCCUCAUGGCCCUUACGGGUUGGGCUACACACGUGCUACAAUGGUGGUGACAAUGGGUUAAUCCCCAAAAGCCAUCUCAGUUCGGAUUGUCGUCUGCAACUCGACGGCAUGAAGUCGGAAUCGCUAGUAAUCGCGUAACAUCAUGACGCGGUGAAUACGUUCCCGGGUCUUGUACACACCG
rnacentral:rRNA from 1 species